rnacentral:rRNA from 1 species
CUGUCUUGAGUAUAGUUGAGGUAGCUGGAAUGAGUAGUGUAGCGGUGAAAUGCAUAGAUAUUACUCAGAACACCGAUUGCGAAGGCAGGUUACCAAGUUAUAACUGACGCUGAGGGACGAAAGCGUGGGGAGCGAACAGGAUUAGAUACCCUGGUAGUCCACGCCGUAAACGAUGCUAACUCGUUUUUGGGCUUUAGGGUUCAGAGACUAAGCGAAAGUGAUAAGUUAGCCACCUGGGGAGUACGACCGCAAGGUUGAAACUCAAAGGAAUUGACGGGGGCCCGCACAAGCGGUGGAUCAUGUGGUUUAAUUCGAUGAUACGCGAGGAACCUUACCAAGGCUUAAAUGGGAAUUGACAGCUGUAGAAAUACGGUUUUCUUCGGACAAUUUUCAAGGUGCUGCAUGGUUGUCGUCAGCUCGUGCCGUGAGGUGUUAGGUUAAGUCCUGCAACGAGCGCAACCCCUGUCACUAGUUGCCAUCAUUAAGUUGGGGACUCUAGUGAGACUGCCUACGCAAGUAGCGAGGAAGGUGGGGAUGACGUCAAAUCAUCACGGCCCUUACGCCUUGGGCCACACACGUGAUACAAUGGCCGGUACAGAGGGCAGCUACACUGCGAAGUGAUGCAAAUCUCGAA